rnacentral:pre_miRNA from 1 species
GGGGAUCCGAGUCCGCUGCGUUUUUAAAACGGUGAAGAUCUAGGGUCUUCGAUCAGCAAUUCGUCACAUUCCAGUUCAAACUGAGCAGCAGUCGGAUAUGGCCGACGUACUGAAGAGAGUCUGAAUUGGGAUUUGGCGAAUUGAGGGUCGCGAUUAAUAGAUGUCCAUCGUUUUGAGACACAGGAGAAGCGGGUUCCU